AGAGUUUGAUCCUGGCUCAGAUUGAACGCUGGCGGCAUGCCUUACACAUGCAAGUCGAACGGCAGCACGGGGGCAACCCUGGUGGCGAGUGGCGAACGGGUGAGUAAUACAUCGGAACGUAUCCUGUAGCGGGGGAUAACUUCUCGAAAGAGAAGCUAAUACCGCAUACGACCUACGGGUGAAAGAGGGGGAUCGCAAGACCUCUCACUAUAGGAGCGGCCGAUGUCGGAUUAGCUAGUUGGUGGGGUAACGGCCCACCAAGGCUACGAUCCGUAGCUGGUCUGAGAGGACGACCAGCCACACUGGAACUGAGACACGGUCCAGACUCCUACGGGAGGCAGCAGUGGGGAAUUUUGGACAAUGGGCGCAAGCCUGAUCCAGCCAUGCCGCGUGGGUGAAGAAGGCCUUCGGGUUGUAAAGCCCUUUCGGCUGGGACGAAAAGGUCCGCGUUAACACCGCGGAUCCAUGACGGUACCAGCAGAAGAAGCACCGGCUAACUACGUGCCAGCAGCCGCGGUAAUACGUAGGGUGCAGGCGUUAAUCGGAAUUACUGGGCGUAAAGCGUGCGCAGGCGGUCUGCUAAGAGAGGUGUGAAAUCCCCGGGCUUAACCUGGGAACUGCGCUUCUAACUGGCAGGCUUGAGUGUGGCAGAGGGGGGUGGAAUUCCACGUAGCAGUGAAAUGCGUAGAGAUGUGGAGGAACACCGAUGGCGAAGGCAGCCCCCUGGGCUAACACUGACGCUCAUGCACGAAAGCGUGGGGAGCAAACAGGAUUAGAUACCCUAGUAGUCC
rnacentral:rRNA from 1 species